rnacentral:ncRNA from 1 species
GCACAGGCCGUACACCCCGGCCCCGGACGAGGCGGACCAGUACCCGGUGAGCGCAAAGACUGGCCCGA